GACGAACGCUGGCGGCGUGCCUAAUACAUGCAAGUCGAACGAGAGCAACCGGUGCUUGCACUGGUCAAUCUAGUGGCGAACGGGUGAGUAACACGUGGGUAACCUGCCCAUCAGAGGGGGAUAACAUCCGGAAACGGAUGCUAAAACCGCAUAGGUCUUCGAACCGCAUGGUUUGAAGAGGAAAAGAGGCGCAAGCUUCUGCUGAUGGAUGUACCCGCGGUGCAUUAGCUAGUUGGUGAGGUAACGGCUCACCAAGGCCGUGAUGCAUAGCCGACCUGAGAGGGUGAUCGGCCACAUUGGGACUGAGACACGGCCCAAACUCCUACGGGAGGCAGCAGUAGGGAAUCUUCCGCAAUGGACGCAAGUCUGACGGAGCAACGCCGCGUGAGUGAAGAAGGUUUUCGGAUCGUAAAACUCUGUUGUUAGAGAAGAACAAGUGCUAGAGUAACUGUUAGCGCCUUGACGGUAUCUAACCAGAAAGCCACGGCUAACUACGUG
rnacentral:rRNA from 1 species